rnacentral:rRNA from 1 species
GACGAACGCUGGCGGCGUGCCUAAUACAUGCAAGUCGAACGCAGGGGGGACGGGGGAGUAACACGUGGGUAACCUCCCAUCAGAGGGGAUAACACUUGGAAAAAGGUGCUAAACCGAUACUGAUGGAUGGGCCCGCGGUCCAUUAGCUAGUUGGUGGGGUAACGGCGCACCAAGGCCACGAUGCAUAGCCGACCUGAGAGGGUGAUCGUCCACACUGGUACUGAGACACGGUCCAGACUCCUACGGGAGGCAGCAGUGGGGAAUCUUCGGCAAUGGACGAAAGCCUGAACGAGCAACCCCGCGUGAGUGAAGAAGGUUUUCGGAUCGUAAAACUCUGUUGUUAGAGAAGCGGUAUCUAACCAGAAAGCCACGGCUAACUCCGUGCCAGCAGCCGCGGUAAUUC